rnacentral:rRNA from 2 species
AAUGGACGCAAGUCUGAUGGAGCAACGCCGCGUGAGUGAAGAAGGCUUUCGGGUCGUAAAACUCUGUUGUUGGAGAAGAAUGGUCGGCAGAGUAACUGUUGUCGGCGUGACGGUAUCCAACCAGAAAGCCACGGCUAACUACGUGCCAGCAGCCGCGGUAAUACGUAGGUGGCAAGCGUUAUCCGGAUUUAUUGGGCGUAAAGCGAGCGCAGGCGGUUUUUUAAGUCUGAUGUGAAAGCCCUCGGCUUAACCGAGGAAGUGCAUCGGAAACUGGGAAACUUGAGUGCAGAAGAGGACAGUGGAACUCCAUGUGUAGCGGUGAAAUGCGUAGAUAUAUGGAAGAACACCAGUGGCGAAGGCGGCUGUCUGGUCUGUAACUGACGCUGAGGCUCGAAAGCAUGGGUAGCGAACAGGAUUAGAUACCCUGGUAGUCCAUGCCGUAAACGAUGAAUGCUAGGUGUUGGAGGGUUUCCGCCCUUCAGUGCCGCAGCUAACGCAUUAAGCAUUCCGCCUGGGGAGUACGACCGCAAGGUUGAAACUCAAAGGAAUUGACGGGGGCCCGCACAAGCGGUGGAGCAUGUGGUUUAAUUCGAAGCAACGCGAAGAACCUUACCAGGUCUUGACAUCUUUUGAUCACCUGAGAGAUCAGGUU